UACGGAGGGUGCGAGCGUUGUCCGGAAUCAUUGGGCGUAAAGGGCGCGUAGGUGGCCCGGUCAGUCUUUGGUGAAAGCGCGGGGCUCAACCCUGCGUCGGCCAGGGAUACUGCCGCGGCUGGAGCACUGUAGAGGCAGGCGGAAUUCCGGGUGUAGCGGUGGAAUGCGUAGAGAUCCGGAAGAACACCGGUGGCGAAGGCGGCAUGCUGGGCAGUUUUGCUGACACUGAGGCGCGACAGCGUGGGGAGCAAACAGG
rnacentral:rRNA from 1 species